CUCACUAUGUGUAAAUAACACACACGUGUCGGCACAUUUGCCGGGGUGCUCUGCAGCAUGCUGCGGGGUCGGCAUAAUGGGACACGUGGAGGCAUAAC
rfam:Lonsdalea quercina strain ATCC 29281 genome assembly, contig: Ga0052894_scaffold00001.1